GGGUCAGUAGGUUGGUCGUGCCACCGGUACGUACUGGUCUCACUGAUUCCUCCUUCCUGAAGAACCGUAAUGCCAUUAAUUUGGUGUUGCGGGGAAACAGGACUGUUACUUUGAAAUAAUUAGAGUGUUUAAAGCAGGCUAACGCUUGAAUACAUUAGCAUGGAAUAAUGAAAUAGGACGAUCGAUCCUAUUUUGUUGGUUUCUAGGAUUGACGUA
rnacentral:rRNA from 1 species